rnacentral:piRNA from 1 species
AUUUCAGAAUAAAAUUUUAAUGUC